rnacentral:pre_miRNA from 1 species
UUUCUACUCCCUCCGUCCGAAAAUACUUGUCAUCAAAAUGGAUAAAAAGGGAUGUAUCUAAAACUAAAAUACGUCUAGAUACAUUUCCUUUUAUCCAUUUUGAUGACAAGUAUUUCCGGACGGAGGGAGUAUUUA